AAGAAUUUGGCUCAGGUGUCCUCAAAUCUUUUGGACUUUGUAGGUCAAUCUCCUCAUAAAGUAAUAUCUUCAGGCGUAAGGGCUGCAACGUACACAGAGAGGCAUUCCCACAUGACAUUUGGCAUUUUUAAAGAUAGCAGCGACGAUUUAUUUUCAUAUGAAGAGCAACUUGCAGCUUCUUUGGUUCUGAGGCACAUGGAGGUGAUGCGCAGCCUGUGGCAGCGGCGGGACGGGACCUGCAGGAGGGUCGCYGGGCCCUGGGGAGAGGGACCACAAAAAAUUGAGAGGUCUGGCUGGAGAUGCAGGGGCUCGAGAGACUUCUGGGGAAGAAMGAGGCAUCAGAAAAUAAGGAACCACUGGUUUGCUGAAUAGAUGCCAGAAUGAGUCACAAGUCACGGUCUUGACGGCCCAUCUGAAAAUCUAUGGAAAUUUCUUGAGGUCAGGGAAGGGGUCAGCGUUCACAGAUUGCUGCUCGCAGAAAGGAUUUACCAAAUAUGUAAACAGUAUCAUCUACCGUUAAUGCAGGUAUCUGUUAAAGGCAUCACCAUAUUCAAACUGAGGAAAAAAGAGCAGCAGGGCUGCUUGGAGCUUUGUCUUGUGGACGCAGAAAGAGGCCGACCUUUACCGUUUCUUAGACAAGUGAGCUGAGGCUAAAGAUUCUUGAACGGACUUACUACAUUGAUUUUUAAAAAGUAAUUUAUCUGCCAAAGGAAGUUCUUUUGAGGUCCCACGGCUGGUGACACUGCAGAACCCGUCUGUUUCGCUGCUCCGUCACUGCAAUCUUCAUUCUAAGGCAUUGCUGCAAAACACGCUUCUACUGAGGUAACCARCUUCCAGCUGAAAUACGACACAAAGCUUCCACGGUACUCACUUUGUAAGCAAAAGCACCUAUUUUUCAGAUCAUCAGGUGUAUCAGUAAAUGUAUCCACUCUUUGUAAGUGUGYGUUAAACCUAUACUUAAACGGGGCUUUGAAAUGGCAGAAAAUUGCACGUUGGAUUUAUCAUUAAAUGGCGAGGGGGGUGGGAAGAGAAAGAAAAAACAUUGUCUCGUGUAUGAAAAAAAGAACAAGGAAGCUUUUUCUUUCCCUGCCACUCAUUUUUCAAACACUGGAGGUKGCAAAUAAAGAUGRGAUGAAAUAUCCUAUAGUCCCUGUG
rnacentral:lncRNA from 1 species